rnacentral:lncRNA from 1 species
CCCAAAAAAUCGGAUAAAAACCUGAUUUUUGGCGAUUAUUUAAAGUGGAUGACGCAAUGCUGCGUCAUCCCCGGUAUUACUGACAGUAAACGGAUGACGCAAUGCUGCGUCAUGCCCGGGCAAAAGUGUUAAGGUGCCAUACUUUUGGUUUGUUCAUGAGGUGAGAGGUGGAUCAGAACCUUGGGUGACCAAGGCUACCACCUAGUGAUGGUCGGGCAAGUUGGAGCAAGACUUAUUCAUGUCUUGCCAACUAUUGUUUACACUGUUUCCAUUUUAUUUAUUUAUUUUAAGCAGUGAUUUGUUUUGUCUCAUUUGGACUUUUUAGACAGUUUUAACCAGUUUUUGGGUUGAUUUCUGAUCCCUCCAUAUUCUCCUUUAUUUGCUGAAUGGAUUAAAUUUAGGAUGUGGUAGGCCUGUAUUUGCUGGGUCUGGGUUGUUUUAUGGUCUUGUAACCUGUGGGGUGUGUGCACCAGGUCCCCAGUGUGUGGGGCUGGCCUGUGCUGAGGGCUGUGCUCUCCAGGUCCCCAGUGUGUGCGGCUGACUUGUGCUGAGGGCUGUUCUCUCCAGGUCACCAGUGUGUGGGGCUGGCCUGUGCUGAGGGCUGUGCUCUCCAGGUCACCAGUGUGUGGGGUUGGCCUGUGCUGAGGGCUGUGCUCUCCAGGUCCCCAGUGUGUAGGGCUGGCCUGUGCUGAGGGCUGUGCUCUCCAGGUCCCCAGUGUGUGGGGCUGACUUGUGUUGUGGAUGUUAUGAGAAAAAAUAUAUGGGAACGGCAAUCAUUUCUCCACUCUUCAAUUAUAACUUUGUUGCUAAGUAUUUUGUAAUUAACACUGAUAUAAUAAGUGUCUUGCAAACUUCCUAUUUAAAGGUUAUAAACAAAGAAGUCAGUAUUAUUUGAUAUAACAAAAGUUACUUAAGGUUUGAAAGUAAUAUACAGUAGUAUUAAGCUGAUGGAUUUGUUAGCAAGAUGUGGUGCCCGACAUGGCUGGUUAACUCAUUGGAUAAUAACAAAAAUAAUUUUAUACAACUACAGUAGGCCAACAUUUUUAUGAAAUGCAAUAUUUCUCAUGUUUACUGCAGCUGAUUUGUUAUCCAAUUUUUGCGGUACAAAAGUAUAGAUCUUGUAGAUGUAUACACAGUUCUGUGUUUUGACUCAAAAUUUUAAUGAUGGCCUGAAUGGUAACAGAUUAAAUCGGUGAUCAGUUGGUAGUUGUUAGAAGGAAGAGGCGAAGGAGAAACUUUUUCUCCAAUUUUGGGAAGAUAUAUUAUGCUAUAGAGUGUAUGCUUUAACUAGUGAGUGUGCUGUAUAGCAGUGACAACAGUUAGAGCCAGACUAAGCCUUUAUUGUAAUAUAAAUAGAAUGACAAAGCCGAAGAGGCUUGCAUGGUACUAGUGGGAUAAAGAUUUAUUUAGAAAAUUAGAAAAAUAUGCUUGUGACACAAAAAUAUGCUUGUGUUUGUAAGGAAAUUGAGCUUGCUUUCCAGUGGCUUAAAAGUGAAACCUAAUGUAGAAUAGUGUGGUAUCAGUAGUGUAAGUUCAAACAAAUAUAUUUAUAAUGUGUACUAUUAUGAAGAAUACUAAUGAGUUUCAGCAAGUUGAAAUAUACCAAGAUAUAGUGCCAAUAAAUGGCUGCUUAUAUCUGGCUUGGUUGGUGUAGCCAGAAAAUGUCAUCCUUCAUAUAACUUGUUAUUUUAUCAUACUGCAUGCUUUACAUCAUAAUUUUGCUCAUGUGACAGUAAAGUCAACAUGUUAACCUUUUCAUAUACUAAACCACGGUUAUCUUUGGUGACCCAUAUGCGUAGCAAGGUUUUC